GCAAGGUACCAUGGGCGCACGGCGGAUGCCUUGGCAUCGGAAGUCGACGAAGGGCGCGGCAAGCCGCGAUAGGCCCGGGGGAGGCGCAAACGGCCGCAGAUCCCGGGAUUCCCGAAUGGGGGAACCCAGCCGCCGUCAUGGGCGGCUACCCGAUUGGAGACCAUCCUUUCGGGGGACAACCGGGGGAACUGAAACAUCUAAGUACCCCGAGGAGGAGAAAUCAACCGAGAUCGCGCGAGUAGCGGCGAGCGAAAGCGCGCGAGCCCAAACCUGCGACGGCGCCAAGGCUGGGGCCGUUGCCUCGCAGGUGUUGCGGGACGCAGAGCCCGGGGCCCCCAGGCCCCGGCCGCAGUCAGAAAACCACGUUCGAGCGGAACGGCAUGGGAAGGCCGGCCGCAGCGGGUGAGAGCCCCGUACGCGAAGGACGAGGACUGCGGUCUGCGAUCCAGAGUAGGGCCGGGCACGUGAAACCCGGUCCGAAGCAGGGGGGACCACCCUCCAAGGCUGAACACUCUCCGAUGACCGAUAGCGAACCAGUACCGCGAGGGAAAGGUGAAAAGCACCCCGAGAGGGGAGUGAAACAGCGCCUGAAACCGUGCGCCCCCAAGCAGCGGGAGCCGUUCCGACGACGGUGACCGCGUGCCUUUUGUAGAAUGAGCCUGCGAGUCGCGGCAUGCGGCGAGGUUAAGGGACACCGAGCCGCAGCGAAAGCGAGCCUGAACAGGGCGAUUUGAGUCGCAUGCCGCGGACGCGAAGCCGGGUGAGCUAUCCAUGGGCAGGGUGAAGCGGGGGUAAGACCCCGUGGAGGCCCGAACCCACUUCGGUUGAAAACGGAGGGGAUGACCCGCGGAUAGGGGUGAAAGGCCUAUCAAACCCGGAGAUAUCUCGUUCUCCCCGAAACAGCUUUAGGGCUGGCCCCGGGCAUUGACCAUCGGAGGUAGAGCACUGGACCGGCGAGGGGGCCUCACCGCCUACCGACCCAGACCAAACUCCGAAUGCCGAUGGUUCCGACCCCGGGAGUCAGAGCGCGUGGGCUAAGCUGCGCGCUCGAGAGGGAAACAGCCCAGACCGCCCGCCAAGGCCCCAAAGGCCGUGCUAAGUGGCAAAGGAUGUGCGCCCGCCCAGACAACCAGGAUGUUGGCUUAGAAGCAGCCAUGCAUUCAAAGAGUGCGUAACAGCUCACUGGUCGAGUGGGGGCGCGCCGACAAUGCGCGGGGCUCAAGCACGGCGCCGAAGCGGCGGAAUCGAUCAAUUCGAUUGGUAGGGGAGCUUUCCAUGCCGGGCGAAGCCGGAGGCGCGAGCCCCGGUGGACGGCAUGGAAGUGAGGAUGCAGGCAUGAGUAGCGAGAGAGCGGCGAGAAACCGCUCCGCCGAAAACCCAAGGUUUCCUGGGCGAGGCUAAUCCCCCCAGGGUCAGCCGGGAGCUAAGGCGAGGCCGAGAGGCGCAGCCGAUGCACGACGGGCAGACAUUCCCGUGCCGGCGCGGGCGCGCUACGACCGAUGGGACGACGGGGAAGGAUACGCGAGCGGGGUUCUGGACGUCCCCGUGAAAGCGCGUAGGGAGGGGCCCAGGGAAAUCCGGUCCCCGCAUAUCCCGAGACGCGAGACGAGCCCCAUGGCGAAGUCGCGGAUUCCAUGCCUCCUAGAAAAAUCCCUAGGCAGCGCCCACGCCGCCCGUACCAAAACCGACACAGGUGGGUAGGAAGAGCAUUCCGAGGCGAUCGGGGCAACCAUGGUCAAGGAACUCGGCAUAAUCGUCCCGUAACUUAGGGAGAAGGGACGCCCCCCAGCGUGUACCGGCUCGCCCGGGAAGCGCCGGGGGGCCGCAGCGAAAGGGCCCAAGCGACUGUUUACCAAAAACACAGGACUCUGCCAAGCCGCGAGGCGAAGUAUAGGGUCUGACGCCUGCCCGGUGCCGGAAGGUCACGGGGAUCCGUUAGCCUUUGGCGAAGCGGUGAACCCAAGCCCCGGUAAACGGCGGCCGUAACUAUAACGGUCCUAAGGUAGCGAAAUUCCUUGUCGGGUAAGUUCCGACCUGCACGAACGGCGCAACGACUUGGGCGCUGUCUCGACCAUGGGCCCGGCGAAAUUGCAUUAUCCGUGAAGAUGCGGAUUCCCCGCGGAAGGACGGAAAGACCCCGUGAACCUUUACUGCAGCUUGGCAUUGGCCGCAGGCGCGGCGCGUAGAGGAUAGGCAGGAGGCUGCGAAGCCCGGGCGCCAGCCCGGGCGGAGCCGACCUUGGAAUACUGCCCCCGUCGCGUCGGCGGCCUAACCCGGGGACGGCCCGGGGACCGUGCCAGGCGGGCAGUUUGACUGGGGCGGUCGCCUCCCAAAGAGUAACGGAGGCGCGCGCAAGGUCCGCUCAGGACGGUCGGCAACCGUCCGAAGAGCGCAAGAGCACAAGCGGGCCUGACUGCGAGGCAGACAAGCCGAGCAGGGACGAAAGUCGGCUCUAGUGAUCCGGCGGCCCCGAGUGGAAGGGCCGUCGCUCAACGGAUAAAAGGUACUCCGGGGAUAACAGGCUGAUCUUGCCCAAGAGUCCACAUCGACGGCAAGGUUUGGCACCUCGAUGUCGGCUCAUCGCAUCCUGGGGCUGGAGUCGGUCCCAAGGGUACGGCUGUUCGCCGUUUAAAGCGGUACGCGAGCUGGGUUCAGAACGUCGUGAGACAGUUCGGUCCCUAUCCUCCGCGGGCGCAGGAGAAUUGAGGAGGGCUGCCCCUAGUACGAGAGGACCGGGGCGGACGGGCCUCUGGUGUCCCGGUUGUCGACCAACGGCACGGCCGGCUAGCCACGCCCGGAACGGAUAACCGCUGAAGGCAUCUAAGCGGGAAGCCGUCUCCGAGAUGAGUUCUCCCUUCGGUAAGCCCCCAUGUAGAACACGUGGUCGAUAGGCCGCAGCUGCAAGCGCCGCGAGGCGUUCAGGCGAGCGGUACUAAUAGGGCGAGCCCUUGCACCCAUCC
rnacentral:rRNA from 1 species